CCCUUAGAUGUUCUGGGCCGCACACGCGCUACACUGAAGGAGGCAGCGUGUACUCCUGGAUCGAAAGAUUUGGGUAACCCGCGAAUCUCCUUCGUGCUAGGGAUUGAGGUUUGCAAUUAUCCUUCAUGAACGAGGAAUUCCCAGUAAGUGCAAGUCAUAAGCUUGCGCUGACUACGUCCCUGCUUUUUGUACACACCGCCCGUCGCUACUACCGAUUGAAUGAUUUAGUGAGGACUUCGGACUGGGACCGAUGCGGCUUUCGGGCUGCGUCGGUAUUCUGGAAAGAUGUCCAAACUGUAUCAUUUAGAGGAAGUAAAAGUCGUAACA
rnacentral:rRNA from 1 species